GAAAAUUCUUUCCCUUGUUCAUUUUUCAUUUUCUUGGUUUGGCUCUCUCAAAGCAAAACAAACCCUCGUCUCCUUCCAUUACCUGCAAAAUUCUCAGAGCAAAACGCUAACAGUAAUCCAACACAUAGCCGUUGCAGAGACACUGAUACGGUCUGGCCGAGAGGAGUUGUUUAUGGAAAUUAUUGAAUCGCUGAGUUGAAUCGGACCAGGGACAGACAGAGAUCUGAGUCUAGUCAAUAGAUGCACUAAUGGGUGCUGCAGGCUCCAAACUCGAGAAAGCUCUUGGCGACCAGUUCCCUGAGGGCGAGCGAUACUUUGGCCUUGAGAAUUUUGGCAACACUUGCUACUGUAAUAGCGUCUUGCAGGCACUUUACUUCUGUGUACCAUUUCGAGAACAAUUACUAGAAUAUUAUGCUACUAAUAAAAAUACUGGGGAUGCCGAAGAGAAUCUCUUGACAUGUUUAGCAGACCUAUUUACGCAGAUAAGUUCGCAGAAGAAGAAAACAGGUGUAAUUGCUCCAAAGCGUUUCGUACAGAGAUUGAAAAAACAAAAUGAGCUUUUCCGUAGCUAUAUGCACCAGGUACAUGUUCAUUUGUAACUGAUUGAUGAAUAGAGGGAUCAGUUUGACAUAUACAUUUACACUACAGUAACAAAACUUUAUAGAUCAGUAAAUAUUUAUCUAUAUAUUUUUCAUGCAUAUUCUUCAUGCAGGAUGCUCAUGAAUUUUUAAAUUUUUUGCUAAAUGAACUUGUUGACAUACUGGAGAAGGAGGCUCAAGCUGUAAAAAGUGAUCCAGAAACUUCAUCCCCACCUGAAAAGACUGCAAAUGGGCCAAAGAAUGCUCAGGCAAAUGGUGUUUCAAAGGAGCCUUUGGUGACUUGGGUGCACAAAAAUUUUCAGGGGAUUCUCACCAAUGAGACAAGAUGUCUGCAGUGUGAGACAGUUACAGCAAGAGAUGAAACAUUUUUCGACUUGAGCCUUGAUAUUGAACAGAAUAGUUCAAUAACUAGCUGUUUGAAAAAUUUUAGUUCCACAGAGACUUUGAAUGCAGAGGAUAAGUUUUUCUGUGACAAGUGCUGCAGCUUGCAAGAAGCCCAGAAGAGGAUGAAGAUAAAGAAACCUCCUCACAUCUUGGUGAUCCAUCUGAAGAGGUUCAAAUACAUUGAGCAGUUGGGUCGGUACAAGAAGCUAUCUUAUCGAGUUGUCUUCCCACUUGAGCUUAAGCUGAGUAACACCAUGGAAGAUGCAGAUAUUGAAUACUCAUUAUUUGCAGUAGUUGUUCAUGUUGGAAGUGGACCCAAUCAUGGACAUUAUGUCAGCCUCGUCAAAAGCCACAAUCACUGGCUAUUUUUUGAUGACGAAAAUGUGGAGAUUAUUGAUGAGUCUGUUGUGCAAACAUUUUUUGGGUCAGCACAGGAAUAUUCAAGUAAUACGGAUCAUGGGUACAUCUUGUUUUAUGAGAGCCUUGGUGCUAGUAGCAAGAGUUGAGAAGAGGAUACUUUGGUUUUACAAGUAGGUACUUGAAACGUUUGGACUGAUCUUGUCUUUUCCUCAUUUUCUGUUAUUAUUGGUUUUCUUUUCCCUUUAGUCCUUCAACCACUGGGAACUGGGAAGAGCUCUCAAAUUUAGACAUUUGAGAUGACGAUGAUAUGGGUUGUUGAAAAAUGUAUACUUGGGUUGUUUCCAUGUACAGUGGAUGGUGGAAGCACACAGUCCUUUUGUUUUUUCAGAAUAAGAAGAAAGAAAGAUUAGUGUAUAUGGUGUGAGAGAAAUUCACAGACGCUUGUAUUCUUCAUGGUUGAGAAUGUUUAAUCAAAACAUUAGAAAUGCAAUCCAAUUGGAAUUUUC
rnacentral:misc_RNA from 1 species